rnacentral:rRNA from 1 species
GUACACGCUGUGACUAGCAUAUCAAUAAGCGGAGGAAAAGAAACUAACAAGGAUUCCCCUAGUAACGGCGAGUGAAGCGGGAAGAGCUCAAAUUUGAAAUCUUAAAGGGUUUCCCUUUACGAAUUGUAGUUUAAAGAAGUGUUUUCUGUUGAGGUUUUGGUAAAAGUUCUUUGGAAUAGGACAUCAUAGAGGGUGAGAAUCCCGUAUUUGACCUUUACUUUCAACUUUGUGAUACACUUUCAAAGAGUCGGAUUGUUUGGGAAUGCAGUCCAAAAUGGGUGGUAAAUUUCAUCUAAAGCUAAAUAUUGGCGAGAGACCGAUAGCGAACAAGUACCGUGAGGGAAAGAUGAAAAGAACUUUGAAAAGAGAGUUAAACAGUACGUGAAAUUGUCAAAAGGGAAGCGUUUGACACCAGUGUUGUUUUUCUGAAAUCAAUUAAAGAACUGUUUAUGCUAAGUUGUUUAGACUUUAUCAGCUAUCUGUUUAGUUUUGAGCUUUUCUUUAAUGCACUUUUCAGUUAACAAGUCAACAUCAAUUUCUUUUGCUGUAAAAAAGCUUGAGGAAGGUGGCUUGAGAUUCGUCUUAAGUGUUUAUAGCCUCUUGCCUAUGCAGUCGGAGAGAUUGAGGUCUGCAGCGUAGAUCCUUCGGGGCUAAAUGCAUUUGUGCUAAGUUAUAGCAUUUUAUAGACAACUUGUUGACUAUGAUUUGUCUUGUAGCUUACUCGCUUAUGUUAUUUUACCUACGCUUAGGAUGUUGACGAGACUGUCGAUCUCAUCUAUACAUGACUCUGUGCAUAUCAAUAAGCGGAGGAAAAGGUACCUACGCUUAGGAUGUUGACGAGACUGUCGAUCUCAUCUAUACAUGACUCUGUGCAUAUCAAUAAGCGGAGGAAAAGGCUGCGGAACUGAACGACCGCUACCUACGCUUAGGAUAGUUGACGAGACUGUCGAUCUC